UUCCGGCGCGCUGCGCUCGGACGGCAGGGGGCGUGCAUCCGCCGUACCUCGGCCAGCUCGGCACCUUUGGGGGCCUGUGCGGCCUGGUGUGACUGGAAGGAAAAUGGAGCAAGAAGCCUAGCCUGAGGGGUAGCUCUUACCCCUCUGACCGAGGUCCUGCCGCUUUUGCCGCUAGGAGCCUCCUUCUCCUUCGGACCUAGUGAGUUCGAGCGCCCCGGCGGCCUGGGCCCGGCGAGUGGAAUGGUCGCCGAGGCCCAAGGCGUCGGGCUUCCGCGCGCCCCGUGACGGGAACUAGGAAGCCUCGAGCUGUAUUCACUGGCUGUUUGAGAGAGAGAACCUGUGGUCACCGACCUGUAGCAUUUUCUGCUGAUGUAGGCAAAUGUGCAAUACCAACAUGUCUGUGUCUACUGAUGGUGCUGUAAGCACCUCACAGAUUCCAGCUUCGGAACAAGAGACCCUGGUUAGACCAAAGCCAUUGCUUUUGAAGUUGUUGAAGUCUGUUGGUGCACAGAAGGACACCUAUACUAUGAAAGAGGUUAUAUUUUAUCUUGGCCAGUAUAUUAUGACUAAACGAUUAUAUGAUGAGAAACAACAGCAUAUUGUGUAUUGUUCAAAUGAUCUUCUAGGGGAUUUGUUUGGAGUGCCAAGCUUCUCUGUGAAAGAGCACAGGAAAAUAUAUACAAUGAUUUAUAGAAACUUGGUGAUAGUCAAUCAGCAGGAACCAUCAGAUUCAGGCACAUCUGUGAGUGAAAACAGGUGUCACCUUGAAGGUGGGAGUGUUCAAAAGGACCUUGUGCAAGAGCUACAGGAAGAGAAACCUUCAUCUUCAGAUUUGGUUUCUAGACCAUCUACCUCAUCUAGAAGGAGAGCAGUUAGUGAGACAGAAGAAAAUUCAGAUGAAUUACCUGGUGAACGACAAAGAAAGCGCCACAAAUCUGAUAAUAUUUCCCUUUCCUUUGAUGAAAGCCUUGCUCUGUGUGUAAUAAGGGAGAUAUGUUGUGAAAGAAGCAGUAGCAGUGAAUCGACAGGGACUCCAUCAAAUCCGGAUCUUGAUGCUGGUGUAAGUGAACAUUCAGGUGAUUGGUUGGAUCAGGAUUCAGUUUCAGAUCAAUUCAGUGUAGAAUUUGAAGUUGAGUCUCUGGAUUCAGAAGAUUAUAGCCUUAGUGAAGAAGGACAAGAACUCUCAGAUGAAGAUGAUGAGGUGUAUCGAGUUACUGUGUAUCAGGCAGGGGAGAGUGAUACAGAUUCAUUUGAAGAAGAUCCUGAAAUUUCCUUAGCUGACUAUUGGAAGUGUACUUCAUGCAGUGAAAUGAAUCCUCCCCUUCCACCUCAUUGCAACAGAUGUUGGGCCCUUCGUGAAAAUUGGCUUCCUGAAGAUAAAGGGAAAGAUAAAGGGAAAAUGUCUGAGAAAGCCAAACUAGAAAACUCAGCACAAGUAGAAGAGGGCUUUGAUGUCCCUGACUGUAAGAAAUCUACAGUGAAUGAUUCCAAAGAAUCAUGUGUUGAGGAAAAUGAUGAUAAGAUCACACAAGCCUCCCUAUCCCAAGAAAGUGAGGACUAUUCUCAGCCAUCAACUUCUAAUAGUAUCAUUUAUAGUAGCCAAGAAGAUGUCAAAGAGUUGGAGAGGGAAGAAACACAAGACAAAGAAGAAAGUGUGGAAUCUAGUUUUCCUCUUAAUGCCAUUGAACCUUGUGUGAUUUGCCAAGGUCGACCUAAAAAUGGUUGCAUAGUCCAUGGCAAAACAGGACAUCUUAUGGCAUGCUUUACAUGUGCAAAGAAGCUAAAGAAAAGGAAUAAGCCCUGCCCCGUAUGCAGACAACCAAUUCAAAUGAUUGUGCUAACUUAUUUCCCCUAGUUGAACUACCUAUAAAAGUAGAAUUAUAUAUUUCUAACUAUAUAAGCCCCAAAAUUUAGACAUGAAUUUAUUUUUAUUUUUUUAGCUGUAUCAAAGCAAGAAAGUAUCUUACUACAUGUAGGUUUCUCCCAAUAGUGAAUAGUUACUUCCUUUUAGGAAAAUGCCCCUUCUGUUGAUAUUUUAUAUUUGGGUUUUAAUGUAAUUUGGAUUGGAUAUAGAGUUCAUCCUUUACCCCUCUACCCCCUUUUUUUUUUUUUUUGGGCUGCACCGCUCUGCAUGUGGAUCUUAGUUCCCCAACCAGGGAUCAAACCCACGCCCCCUGCAGUGGUAGUGCAGAGUCUUAACCACUGUACCAUCAGGGAAAUUCCUACCGCUCGUUAUUUAAAAUAAUUUCCACUUUCUCUUAAAUGAGAAGUAUCUGACCUUUUAAAAAAUAUAUAAGUAGGACAUUUAAAUGUAACUUAUUCAGUACCUUUCAUGUAAGGAGGAAAAGUUCGUGUGAAAGAUUUAAUAUUUAAAUUUUACAUACUCUUAAACUUUCCAAUCCUUAGUUUCUCUAGUCUUUCAGAGCCUCUUAAAAAUAAGUCCCCUGCAUACGAACCUUCAAAUUGCCAACUUUCAAAGAUGCGAAUGUGAGCUGGCAUGUCCAGUCACGAAAGUUCACGUGAGUGGAGUACGUUGUCAUGUGCGUGCAUCCCCUACAAAUGGUUGUGCUUUUGUGUACUUUACUGUGUAGAGUACAGUAGUAUAGUAUCUUUAUCUCAAGCCCAGGAUGUCUGGAAGCAAGCAUAAAAGCAGCAGUGAUGUAGCUGAUACUGCUGAUGGAAACAAAAGUGCAAAUAAUUGAGAGUGGAGUGACAAGAGGAAGAAGUAUCAGAAGAACCAAAGAGAUUCACGAUGCAGAAAAUGGCAAGGGUUUUUUCUUUAUUUGAGGAGGCACUGUUAGUUUUUGAGGCACAGGACCCGAACGUAGAGUGGUACACGAAGGUUGCAGCAGCCGUUCAGAAUGCAAUCCAGUGCUACCGUGUUAUCUAUGAGGAGAAAAAAAGAGCUACUACCCAGACAUCAUGGGAUCGGUUUUUCAAGAGGGUAGGUAGAAUUGAAUCCAGCGAGGAACCAGAACCUGUGCCAUCAACGUCAGGUGUGAGUGAAAUUGCAGCUUGCCCUCCAUCUCCUGUUGCUGACAAUCCUUCAGCUCUGUCAUCUCCCACCUCUUCUCCCUCCUUCAGUCAGUAACUCUUCUUGCCUGUUCACUUGAUGCCAGCCCCUGUAUGCCAGCUGUUGUACUGUACUACUGUACUUUUCAAGGUGCCUCAUCUAAUGCAUUGUGUGCACAGUAGGCAUUCAGUAAAGGAUGUUGCUUGGCAAGGAAAUCAGCUGUGCAGUUUUCUCUAAUUUACAAGAGGACAAGACACUUAGGCAUGUGAGACCAGGCCUCUGUAGUUAAGCACUUUAACCACCAGGUGGAAGCACCGCAUUGGGAGUUCUCGGAAGGCA